UUCAACAUUUAAAUGUCUUGAUGAUCUUAAUAAAAAUGGUGAAUAUAUAAACUGGAGUUACCAUGGUCCAUUUGGAUGUGUUUUUGCUUGGGGUAAUGAUAACUGUUAGUAAUAUGAAAGGGAAAGAAUAAGACUUACAGCACAUAAGGUUUAUAUAGUCGGGCCUAGGUGAAGGAAAUAAGGUGAAGACUCCAUAGUUUAUUUAACCAGAAUUCUUUCAACAUUUUCUAUGUUUUGGAUAUUGUGAAGUUAUAAUGAACCUACUUGAUUUUACUGUUUUACAAUUUGGUGUGUGAAAAUAAGACCUCUAUUAUAUAAGAAGAAAGUGAUCACCAAACUUCGGCUAUGUCUAAAGAAUGGGAUGUGGUCGGAGCAAGUUUCACUCUCAUGAUGAACAGGAAAAACACAGUAAAACUAAUGGGAUAGACAAAGG